rnacentral:rRNA from 1 species
UACAGAGGGUGCAAGCGUUGUUCGGAAUUAUUGGGCGUAAAGGGCGCGUAGGCGGUGCGGUAAGUCUGUAGUGAAAUCUCUGGGCUCAACUCAGAGUCUGCUGCAGAAACUGCCGUGCUUGAGUGUGGGAGAGGUGAGUGGAAUUCCCGGUGUAGCGGUGAAAUUCGUAGAUAUUGGGAAGAACACCAGUGGCGAAGGCGGCUAUCUGGACCGGUACUGACGCUGAGGCGCGAAAGCGUGGGGAGCAAACAGG